CGAAUGCUGACGUGAGUAACGACAAAACGGGUGAAAAACCCGUUCGCCGAAAGACCAAGGGUUCCAGUCCAACGUUAAUCGGGGCUGGGUGAGUCGACCCCUAAGGCGAGGCCGAAAGGCGUAGUCGAUGGGAAAAUGGUUAAUAUUCCAUUACUUCUGUGUAAUGCGAUGAGAGGACGGAGAAGGCUAAAUCAGCCUGGCGUUGGUUGUCCAGGUGAAAGGAUGUAGGCAUGUAUCUUAGGCAAAUCCGGGGUACUCUAUGCUGAGAUCUGAUAGCAAGCUGUACUUGUACAGCGAAGUGGUUGAUGCCAUGCUUCCAGGAAAAGUCUCUAAGCUUCAGUUACACAGGAAUCGUACCCGAAACCGACACAGGUGGUCAGGUCGAGUAGACCAAGGCGCUUGAGAGAACUCUGCUGAAGGAACUAGGCAAAAUGGUACCGUAACUUCGGGAGAAGGUACGCUGUUGUUGGUGAUGGAACUCGCUUCCUGAGCUGACGACAGCCGCAGAAACCAGGCCGCUGCAACUGUUUAUUAAAAACAUAGCACUCUGCAAACACGAAAGUGGACGUAUAGGGUGUGAUGCCUGCCCGGUGCUGGAAGGUUAAUUGAUGGGGUUAGCGUAAGCGAAGCUCUUGAUCGAAGCCCCAGUAAACGGCGGCCGUAACUAUAACGGUCCUAAGGUAGCGAAAUUCCUUGUCGGGUAAGUUCCGACCUGCACGAAUGGCAUAAUGAUGGCGGCGCUGUCUCCAGCAGAGGCUCAGUGAAAUCGAAAUCGCUGUGAAGAUGCAGUGUACCCGCGGCUAGACGGAAAGACCCCGUGAACCUUUACUGCAGCUUGACACUGAACUUUGACCUUACUUGUGUAGGAUAGGUGGGAGGCUUUGAAGCUGGAACGCUAGUUCCAGUGGAGCCGUCCUUGAAAUACCACCCUGGUAAUGUUGAGGUUCUAACUCUGUCCCGUGAUCCGGGACGAGGACCGUGUCUGGUGGGUAGUUUGACUGGGGCGGUCUCCUCCUAAAGAGUAACGGAGGAGUACGAAGGUGCGCUCAGCGUGGUCGGAAAUCACGCGUAGAGUAUAAAGGCAAAAGCGCGCUUAACUGCGAGACCCACAAGUCGAGCAGGUACGAAAGUAGGUCUUAGUGAUCCGGUGGUUCUGUAUGGAAGGGCCAUCGCUCAACGGAUAAAAGGUACUCUGGGGAUAACAGGCUGAUACCGCCCAAGAGUUCAUAUCGACGGCGGUGUUUGGCACCUCGAUGUCGGCUCAUCUCAUCCUGGGGCUGAAGCAGGUCCCAAGGGUAUGGCUGUUCGCCAUUUAAAGAGGUACGCGAGCUGGGUUUAGAACGUCGUGAGACAGUUCGGUCCCUAUCUACCGUGGGCGCUGGAAAUUUGAGAGGAUCUGCUCCUA
rnacentral:rRNA from 1 species